UCGGUGAUGCUUAGAAGAACCGCGGCAACCGCCGCGAACUCAUCGGAGGAUAGUGUUCUUCCCUCUCCUCUGAACAUGCGCGCCUUCAUGCCGAAUUGCUCCGCCGUGGAAUCGUCGUAUCUAAAGCAGGGCAGCGAGCACAUAGUUAUGUUAUCAUGUAGUUGUAGACUUUAUUAUUUACUGCAAUGGAGAUUUGAUCUACUUGUAUUUUUGUACAGAUUGAAAAUGAUUAAGGAUCUAUGGAGUCUGAAAUUGGUGUUCCUGGUUAAACCUUUCCCAAGUGGGCAACAGAUAUAGCUCUACGACUUGGGGUUGGGGUUCCAUUCAAUUGUGCAAGCAAGAUGAUACUCCUGAUACUGUUCGCUGGAGGAGGAGGGAUCGUGGGAGGUGGUGAUUCCACGGCAUAUAUGAGCGCACAUGGAAGGGGUAGAGGAGGGGAGAUUGAGAGAGAUGUGUCUUCCAUUCCAUGGCAGCAUCUUUGGAGUCUUGAGGUCCAAGGAUUUUGUUCUUGUCAUUUUCUAUUUUCCUUUCAUGUAUGUACUCAAGUUGAAAGCUCCUGGGUCAUUUUCACUCGCUUGGCCCAAUUUUCUUAUGUGUAUUUGAUUUUUAUUAUAUGAAAACUCAGUUCAAUUAGUUCUGGUUUUGUGAGAAACGACUAUAAUGACUUAUAUCUAUCUUAUCCCUGCAUUGGCUGGUUGCUUGGGUUUGUAUAUAUUAGUUUGCUUUCUGAAGGGUAAUCCUUUAACAUAAAUGGAAAGACAAACUGUGUGAACUUCGUCAAAGAGUUAAGUGGGAUAUGAACUUCAAAAUUAAGAUGUAACAUAUUUCCUUUACACCACAUACUCUAUUAUUCAUACUCCAUUCAAUUAUUUCUUUUGUGAUUAAUCUCAAGUAGUAAUUGACCUAUGAAGAAAUUAAAAUUCAUUCAGGGAUUUUAUCUUACAACAAUUUUACGAAGUCUUCUGCAUCUAGCUUCUAGCUCUUGGAUCUGUAUGGUUCUCUUUGUCUAGCAUUAUUUAAGCAUUUCACAUAUGUCGAUAGUUACUUACUCUACUAAACUGAGCAUGAAUUUGGCUUCAAGCCAUUCUUCUUCAAUGGUUACUCCACCUUCGUAAGUUCUUUGCUUAUUUUUCUAUUGUCUUAUCAAUCUUGACUCGUAUGCUGAAACUCCUUAUUGUUCAUCUUAUAAAACUUUUUGUUUGAAGAUAAACUUACCUUCUGUUGUAAAACCCCAGUACGUAUGAUUGUUGAUAUUUAGAAAGUUGAAGCUGAUUCAAGAUAGUGAAGGAGAUUUUUGGCCAGUAUACAAGCUUCCAUUAGCAUAAAUGGUGUUUAUUCCAAGUCACUCAUGUAUCACAAGUGGAGAGAACAUUGGAUCCUUUAUUUAUUUUCUUCUAAGAGAGAAAAAUGUUUGAUAGUAUUUUCAGGAAAACUAGUAGAGUAUGAUGAGCCAAUGAACCUGAUGAAGAGAGAAUGUUUGUUGCUUGGGAAGCUUGUCAAAGAAUACUGGUCUCAUUUUCAGUCUGCAGAAUCUCAUUGAAGCUGAAUGCCUUUCUAGCUCUUCUGUCUUUUUCUGUGGGAUUGGUAAGAAGCCAAGAAAUUGUAAAUAAAAGUAGGGUGUAAGAUGUAUUAUAUUUGGACAAAUUCCAAGGCCAGGUAGGAAAAGGAUUAGAGGGACUUAGAUGUGAAUGGUGCAGAUGGAUUCAAAAGAAACAUUUCUAGGAAAACUCAUUAUCUCAUUCUGGACGAGGUGUAUAAACAGUUUCAGUUUGGAAAACAACAUUAUUUAGAAAUGUACUUGAGAUACAUGAUUUUGUUGA